GCCUCUGUAGCUCAGUUGGGUAGAGCCGCUGCACUGGAAUCACAGGGCCGCAGGUUCAAUUCCUGCCAGGGACC
rnacentral:tRNA from 1 species